CCUGUUUAAAAUGCUAAAAACACAGAAAAAAAAACUCCUCAAGUAGAGUGUACUUUUUGUACACUUCAACUAUCAAAAAAUGGGACACGUUUGUUGGAACAUAUUAAAAAAUGCCUAAAAUGUCCAGAGGAAGUUAAAAUAAAGUAUGGAGUGACGGAGAGAAAACAACGAAACAUUGGACUAUUACAAACAAUACAUGAAAAAAGGGAGGAAAAAGUUAAAGAAAAACCGAAAUCACAAUCUAAAGAGGUGUCCGCAUUCAUGGAUAAAAUGACACCUGAACAAAAAGUAAAAG